GACGAACGCUGGCGGCGUGCCUAAUACAUGCAAGUUGAGCGCUGAAGGUUGGUACUUGUACCAACUGGAUGAGCAGCGGACGGGUGAGUAACGCGUGGGGAAUCUGCCUUUGAGCGGGGGACAACAUUUGGAAACGAAUGCUAAUACCGCAUAAAAACUUUAAACACAAGUUUUAAGUUUGAAAGAUGCAAUUGCAUCACUCAAAGAUGAUCCCGCGUUGUAUUAGCUAGUUGGUGAGGUAAAGGCUCACCAAGGCGAUGAUACAUAGCCGACCUGAGAGGGUGAUCGGCCAACUUGGGACUGGGACACGGCCCAAAAUCCUACGGGGGGCAGCAGUAGGGAAUCUUCGGCAAUGGACGAAAGUCUGACCGAGCAACGCCGCGUGAGUGAAGAAGGUUUUCGGAUCGUAAAACUCUGUUGGUAGAGAAGAACGUUGGUGAGAGUGGAAAGCUCAUCAAUUGACGGUAACUACCCAGAAAGGGACGGCUAACUACGUG
rnacentral:rRNA from 1 species